UGAGGAAUAUUGGACAAUGGGCGCAAGCCUGAUCCAGCCAUGCCGCGUGCAGGAUGACGGUCCUAUGGAUUGUAAACUGCCUUUGUACAGGAAGAAACAGUUCUACGUGUAGAACCUUGACGGUACUGUAAGAAUAAGGAUCGGCUAACUCCGUGCCAGCAGCCGCGGUAAUACGGAGGAUCCAAGCGUUAUCCGGAAUCAUUGGGUUUAAAGGGUCCGUAGGCGGUUAGAUAAGUCAGUGGUGAAAGCCCAUCGCUCAACGGUGGAACGGCCAUUGAUACUGUCUGACUUGAAUUAUUAGGAAGUAACUAGAAUAUGUAGUGUAGCGGUGAAAUGCUUAGAGAUUACAUGGAAUACCAAUUGCGAAGGCAGGUUACUACUAAUGGAUUGACGCUGAUGGACGAAAGCGUGGGUAGCGAACAGGAUUAGAUACCCCGGUAGUCCCUGAGCGGGCUGGCAAGGCGCAU
rnacentral:rRNA from 1 species